ACAUAUUCUCUUUAUAAAGAUCAUCAUUUAAAACACAUUUUUAUCAAUUAAAGUCUCCAUGCUUUCAUUCAUUUGAUCAGUAAAUAUUUUUCUGCAUUCCUGCAAUACACUUACCUCUUCACUGGGCUUUGUAAACAGAAGAAAAUUGCCUGCAAUGUACGGCUGUCAUGAAAGACCUCAUCUAACAGGCAUGGGGAUGCGGACGUGCCGACUGUACAUGAAGGCUGCGUCACCAUCAAUGCACCGCCCGCUACCUGUCCUGGGGCAGCAGACGCUCAAGGCUGCAUGGCACAGAGUGGCCCUGGCUAUGUGGUUUCCUGUGCCAGCCACACUGGAUGGCUGGGGCUUGGGCACAGUGAUAGACAAAGAGCCUCUCACCUGGGGGAUAGCAGCUGUUGGCCACUGCAAGGCAGCUUAAAGGUUGGGGGCCCAGAGAAGAACCAGCCCUAGAGAAGGGAGCAGCUGACCCUGUUGGAACUCGGGCAUCGAACAGUGUCACACACCUGAGUCCCCAGCCUGGAGCCUCUGAAGCUGACUUCUUACCUGCACGCCAUCUGGAUGCCAUCCAUUCCGCUGGGAGGAUCCAUUUUAAGCAAGUGAUGCUACCGUCUGCAGAUGGCCACUAUUUGCUUAUCUCUGCGCCAGCCAAAGAGCACCUGGGUGGCCUCCAGUGUCUUUAAGUCAUGAGUAAAGACACCGUAAACAGGCAUCAAGUUACAUUCUCCCUCAUGUCAGCAAUUAGCCCCACUCCUGUGGGUUGUCUACAGACUCCAGAUCCAUUGAUGGAGAUUUCAUCGACCUGUUCACACUGCAGCCAACACCCAGCUCCUGUGAUCCUGGAGCUUUAUAGUGAGUCCUGAUGUCAAAUUUGAGGAUCAACGAUGGGGUGAGACCUUAUGCUGUGAGACCUUAAAGCACCUACAGAGCUUUCUCACAGAGCAGGACCCUCAGGACUCUUUCCCCUGGACUCCGGUGCUGAGGAUGGCGGAAAGGGGACACCCAUGCGCUGCAUGAGUGGAAUAACAUGAUGACCACCAAGCGACUAGACCUGGCCAGUGGAGCAAUUCUGAGUGUGGGGAACUUGGUAUCAAUGUUCUUAUGGAUUUUCUAGGAAAGAAAGGGAAACAAAUUUUGAAACGGUCAUUUGUGUAUAAAUUAUAGUAAAACCUUAUUGCAGAAUGAUGUUGGCAAUGCGGAAACUGGUCACGGGGACACUUUAAACUGCACAAUUUGAUUUAAAAAAAUAACUUAUUAGAAAUAAUGAUUCAUAUAAAAAUGCAAAAUGGCAUAAAUUCUGACCAAUACACAAUAAGAGUAAAAAAAUAUGUAAAUUAAAUUGUGUAAGUUCACUCAGAAAAACAUAAUUCUGUGAGGAAAUAAAAAUAAAAUGAAUGCUAAA